ACUCAAAUGAAUUGACGGGGGCCCGCACAAGCGGUGGAUCAUGUGGUUUAAUUCGAAGCAACGCGAAGAACCUUACCUGGGUUUGACAUCCUUGGAAUGCUGUAGAGAUACAGCAGUUCGUAGCAAUACGACCGAGAGACAGGUGCUGCAUGGCUGUCGUCAGCUCGUGUGGUGACAUGUUGGGUUAAGUCCCGCAACGAGCGCAACCCCUGUCCUUAGUUGCCAGCAUUAAGUUGGGCACUCUAGGGAGACUGCCGUGGUUAACACGGAGGAAGGUGGGGAUGACGUCAAGUCCUCAUGGCCUUUAUAUCCAGGGCGACACACGUGAUACAAUGGAUGCUACAGAGGGAUGCGAAAUGGUGACAUGGAGCUAAUCUCAAAAAGGCAUUCUCAGUUCGGAUUGGAGUCUGCAACUCGACUCCAUGAAGUUGGAAUCGCUAGUAAUCGCGGAUCAGCACGCCGCGGUGAAUACGUUCCCGGGCCUUGUACACACCGCCCGU
rnacentral:rRNA from 1 species